rnacentral:rRNA from 1 species
GCGGCGUGCUUACACAUGCAAGUCGAACGUGAAGCAGAGCUGCUCUGUGGAUCAGUGGCGAACGGGUGAGUAACACGUGAGCAACUGCCCCUGACUCUGGGAUAGCGCUGGAAACGGCGUCUAAUACUGGAUAUGUGACGUGACCGCAUGGUCUGCGUCUGGAAAGAAUUUCGGUUGGGGAUGGGCUCGCGGCCUAUCAGCUUGUUGGUGAGGUAAUGGCUCACCAAGGCGUCGACGGGUAGCCGGCCUGAGAGGGUGACCGGCCACACUGGGACUGAGACACGGCCCAGACUCCUACGGGAGGCAGCAGUGGGGAAUAUUGCACAAUGGGCGAAAGCCUGAUGCAGCAACGCCGCGUGAGGGAUGACGGCCUUCGGGUUGUAAACCUCUUUUAGCAGGGAAGAAGCGAAAGUGACGGUACCUGCAGAAAAAGCGCCGGCUAACUACGUGCCAGCAGCCGCGGUAAUACGUAGGGCGCAAGCGUUAUCCGGAAUUAUUGGGCGUAAAGAGCUCGUAGGCGGUUUGUCGCGUCUGCUGUGAAAUCCGGAGGCUCAACCUCCGGCCUGCAGUGGGUACGGGCAGACUAGAGUGCGGUAGGGGAGAUUGGAAUUCCUGGUGUAGCGGUGGAAUGCGCAGAUAUCAGGAGGAACACCGAUGGCGAAGGCAGAUCUCUGGGCCGUAACUGACGCUGAGGAGCGAAAGGGUGGGGAGCAAACAGGCUUAGAUACCCUGGUAGUCCACCCCGUAAACGUUGGGAACUAGUUGUGGGGUCCAUUCCACGGAUUCCGUGACGCAGCUAACGCAUUAAGUUCCCCGCCUGGGGAGUACGGCCGCAAGGCUAAAACUCAAAGGAAUUGACGGGGACCCGCACAAGCGGCGGAGCAUGCGGAUUAAUUCGAUGCAACGCGAAGAACCUUACCAAGGCUUGACAUAUACGAGAACGGGCCAGAAAUGGUCAACUCUUUGGACACUCGUAAACAGGUGGUGCAUG